GUUCUGGGAACUCUCUGCUGGGCUGCAUUAAGUUCUUGGGUAGGGUCAAGGCUGAAGGCUUCCUAGAGCAGUGGGGUAGCAGUGGGGUAGCCUUCAGGCUCUGCCCAAGAACCCUAACCCUAACCCUAAAGGAUCUUCCUGACCCAGGGAUCGAACCCGGAUCUCCCACAUUGCAGGGGCUCAUCCUUUGUCGUGAGCCUUGUUCUCACGGCCUGCCUGAAGUCCGACGCCCAGAGGCUGGCGGAAGCUGCUGGGUCCACGGCUGCCGAAGGAGGAGCUGGAACGUGAACGCCGGCAGAACUUUGCCCAUGUCUGAGAUUUCUAGAACCUUCUUCCCCCUGCAGGCUUUUGUGCCUUCUGCCCCUUUUGCCUCCCGGCCCUUUGUUUAGUGACUUCCUGCCGGUCCUCGGGUGACCCUUGGACACACUGGGGUGCGCCCCCUGCCGGGGCUGGGACCCUUUUCUGCCUUCCCCAGCCUGUUCUCCGUACCCUAGACUGCGGAGUCUUGGGGCUCGUCACCUCUGUGUCCCCCAACACCAUGCACAGUGGCUCCCCCAGAGCAAGCACUCUAUAAUUUAUUCACUUAAUGAGCAUUUCUGGAUUUAGGGAGUAAUGUGGCUCAGCUG
ensembl:lncRNA